rnacentral:tRNA from 1 species
GCUGGAGUGGCGCAAUUGGCAGCGCAGCUGUCUUGUAAACAGCAGGUUGUGGGUUCGAGUCCCAUCUCCAGCUCCG